CAAAUGUAGUGGUAUUGAAGGACAGGGGAAAAAAGAAAAAGAAAAAAAUACUUAGCUUUAGCUCUCAAAGGGUGAACGGCCGACAAGGCCCGGUCCUAGGCAAUCGGUGAAUAUUCCUGAUCAAUAAAGUGCAAAAAACCUCCUAGAGGAAAAAGCACUUUUUUGCAGUCUCUUUCUGCACUGUACAAUGGAAUCUUAUACGUUUUUUCACUAUACACUGUCCAAUGUAUUUGUUAACAAUAUAGCAGCAGCACCCAACUGGGUGCUGGCUAACGGUACCACACAGUGCUUCUUUACACAGCUCACAAUUGACCUUGAAGACGGAUUAAUUCGAACUAUCACUCGACCGCACUGAUUCAGACAAUAGAAUACGAAAUGACCUUGAUAGCGGAAUAAAACAAUUUACCGCACCACUGGAGAAACCCAAACUUGCGUCCGAUCAGCCCGAUAGUUGCAGUGGAACUGUGAUUCAGGUACCAUGAUGGUUCUUGUUAUCAAUCGAAAAUUCACCAUGGAUGAUACUUUGGAGUUUUUGAAUAAAGGUUAGCUUGUUGGAUUCUCAUAAUAUGGAACGACAAAUUUCUCUGGAAGCAUUUUGUGGUCUGCUGUCUAAAACAACCCAUUCUGACAAUGAAAAUAUCAAAUCACCCCAGGUUAUCACGGCUUCUAAUGGUUUGUAUGGAAAGUUACAUCGCAGAUAUUAUUACGAUGAUGCCCACCAGCUGCCGCAUGGUAAUGUGGUAAGCAAUAUCGUCUAACAAACAGCGUUCAAGAACGAUUUUCUUACAAAAACUACCUGCAGCCGUACUAACACAACGAAAGUAGUUUUCAUCAAUCUAUAUUUCUGCAUAUAAUUAGGAUUAACAAAUGAAAUUGAAAAUUAUAUUGCUUGUUAACAUAACUCCCCCGGAAAUGCAUAAUCGAUUAGUUCCAA